GGCGGUUUGUCGCGUCUGUCGUGAAAGUCCGGGGCUUAACCCCGGAUCUGCGGUGGGUACGGGCAGACUAGAGUGCAGUAGGGGAGACUGGAAUUCCUGGUGUAGCGGUGGAAUGCGCAGAUAUCAGGAGGAACACCGAUGGCGAAGGCAGGUCUCUGGGCUGUAACUGACGCUGAGGAGCGAAAGCAUGGGGAGCGAACAGGAUUAGAUACCCUGGUAGUCCAUGCCGUAAACGUUGGGCACUAGGUGUGGGGACCAUUCCACGGUUUCCGCGCCGCAGCUAACGCAUUAAGUGCCCCGCCUGGGGGGUACGGCCGCAAGGCUAAAACUCAAAGGAAUUGACGGGGGCCCGCACAAGCGGCGGAGCAUGCGGAUUAAUUCGAUGCAACGCGAAGAACCUUACCAAGGCUUGACAUGUUCUCGAUCGCCGUAGAGAUACGGUUUCCCCUUUGGGGCGGGAUCACAGGUGGUGCAUGGUUGUCGUCAGCUCGUGUCGUGAGAUGUUGGGUUAAGUCCCGCAACGAGCGCAACCCUCGUUCCAUGUUGCCAGCACGUAAUGGUGGGGACUCAUGGGAGACUGCCGGGGUCAACUCGGAGGAAGGUGGGGACGACGUCAAAUCAUCAUGCCCCUUAUGUCUUGGGCUUCACGCAUGCUACAAUGGCCGGUACAAUGGGUUGCGAUACUGUGAGGUGGAGCUAAUCCCAAAAAGCCGGUCUCAGUUCGGAUUGGGGUCUGCAACUCGACCCCAUGAAGUCGGAGUCGCUAGUAAU
rnacentral:rRNA from 1 species